CAAACAUUCACGUCCACCGUUUGCAAUCUUUAUCUAAACGAUGAUACGGCUGAAGGAAAGAAAAGAAGCUUUAAGCGAAGAGUGUACGGUAGCUUCUCCGAUAUGUAACAGAGAUAUAAAUUAAAAUACUCACUAUUGACGUCGAUCGAUGAAGAGACAUUCUGGAUCAAUUGACAUUUUUAUUUAUUACCUUUUUAAGAACUUCAGGCGAUCAAGCAUCAAGAGGCAAAAGUGCGGAUACAAGCAGUGAUAAGAUAAGAUGUAUAUAAAUAUAAACACGACAUAUAAAAAAGAAAGAUAGAUAAUAAAGUCAUAAAGUAUACAGAGAAUAUAAUAAAGUGAAACGUGUUGAAAUAAUAUUUCGCAUGUAGGUCAGAAUCUGAAAUCCUUAAGGAUUUUAUUAUUUAUCUAUAGCUCUUGAUGUAUCUUAUCAAACAUUAACGAAUGUAGCACGAAAUUUACCAGAUGUUAUUUCAGGAAGUAACUUGCUUUACAAAGGAUAAGUGUUAUUGAAAUUUUCACGAGGAUUGUAAUCCACCCGUAAAUUUUCAAAGUAUCUAAGAGUUCAGAUUAUUUCCGUAAAUCGUCCUGUCCAUCCUGAAUCGAUGAAAAAUAAUACAUCAUUUUAGAGUGAUUGAUUUAUAGAUCAAUGAUAUUUAUUCAAUAGCCACAAAAAAAAAGAUCCUUCACUGCAAUUUAAUUAUAUCUGUGGACAAUAUCCAUCCUGGUUGGGAAAGAAAAAUAUAUCAGAAUAACCUUAUAUUACUUUCAAUUAUAGUUAUGGAAUUAAGACUUAGAAAAAUUGCCAUAUUCGGAGAAAUAUAAUCCUAUCACGAAAGAUUUCAGCUAUAAGAGAUCCCGAUCUAUCAAGGAUGAUAGAUUUCAGUCAUAAAAAAACACUCCAAGAUCAAAAUUAGAAGUUCCAACAAUAAAACGGAAAAUAUAAGAACACUACGAAACAAUAGAAAGAAAAAAGCAACGUCAUGAAGAAAAAUUAACAUUACGAAGAUAUAAAGAUUUCAAUAUUUUCAGAUGGAAGAAAUGAAGAAAACGAAGAGAAUGAAAUAGAGCUACAAAGUUUUAAUAUGAAAAUACGGAAUGCUUGU